CCUGCUUGAGAAUUUAGGGAAAAUUACAUAUUACCUUUAGAGCUUUCAGUUCAUGAAGUAAUUGACCUCGUUUUUGCUUGUUUAUUCUGUAGUAUUGUUAUAUGAAGUGAGAGUUGCAUGUGCUUAUCUGAAGCUUAUACUAAUAAUGUGCCUCCCUAUUUGUGGCUGAUCUGGAGCUCAUACCCAUGUUGGGAAUUUGUAGCAGGUCUGAUCCCUUGCGCGUGCUCCUCCGCUUGCCCUCUCGACCCUCCCCUUGCUCAUCGCCAUCCAUUUUAUUCAGAGUGUAGAUGGCGGGCAAAACACCUAAGCUCCAAAGCAAGGAUGAAAAGCACUCCAUACACACUCACAAGGAUGAUGAUCCAUCUGUUUCUAGGAUGGUGGGACUUGAGGUCAAACUGCACAGCAAGCCCAUUUGGGGAAUGUAUUUGAACAAUGACCCAAGCAGUCGCACAAGUGGAUCUGCACAUAUUAUUAUCAAGAUCUUGCAUGUGAUUAACCGGGCGGGAGGAGAUGGAAGAAGGGCUUGGCCACUUGGAUCGUGAGAUGACUAUUCGGUUGACCAUUUGUGCUAUCUAUUCAAUGUCAUGCAUCAUAGAAACAAAGAUUAGUUUGGUUGUUGUGGAUUUUGCAGCAAAACAGAGUAGGUCAUGGUG